CCCGGGUUGUUUAGUUGGGAUUGAUAGCUCUUUCUUUAUAUGCGAACCAUUCUUGACAAAUUUAGACAACAAGUGAUAUUCUGAAAAUUUGAUGGAUCAGGUUCUAAUAAAGUGUAGAAAACAUUUGUGGACUUGAGUAGUGCACCUAAAACUCAGGCGGGGCUCUGUUGUGGUGGAGGUAUUAGUACUCUGAGAAAAUCAUAUGAUUUGAUGCACACUACACUUUUAUAUUCCUUGCUUUGGCAGUUGCCAUACUUGAAAAUAUUUGUCAAUUAAUUACAUGUGUAUUAGCUUAGGGUUUAUUUUUAUUAGAAUCUCAUGUCAUAUAAUUCAUGAUGUUUGUGGGUAACAUCCCUGAAAAUCCUCACGAGACAACACUCGUCCACUAGGGUAACCUAGGGGUUUAACGGCUUGUUGCACGUGCUAAGUGCAAUCGUGAUUCCUACGAAAGUGAGUACUUAUCUUAAUUUUAUG
rnacentral:lncRNA from 1 species